UUGGGAUAAUGAGUGCCUAUCGAGACGUCGCGGCGGUUGUCACGGGCUCGAUGGGAGUUCCAGGUCGUGACAAUUUUAGACAGAGAAGGAGAGAGGUUCUAAUGGUACUUCAAGACUUAACUUGGAUUGAGGUCUUAUCGGUGUUAGUUUUGUAAGGUGGCAUUACCAAGAUUCGGAGGUAGUUGGAUCCUAGAUUGAAGUGCCUCCUUAUACUCAUUUUUCGUUGCAAGAUAAAUGCACAAGAUGAGAAGCUCAUUGAUUUUCACAACAUCAAGUUUGUUUCAAGCCAAAAAGCUCAUUCUCAACUCAACAUUUGAUCACAAGGAAGAUAUGGCCAAAGUUACAUGUUGAAUUGAUGAAAAAAUUGAAGAUCCAAAGGCAAGAAUCGACCCUAGAGCAAGCAUAGUCGAUUUUAUGGUAGAAUGGUUGAAGAAUCAUGAAAACAUGAAGACAUAGUUGACCAUAUAAAAGCUGUAGUCGACCUUGAGACAGAAUGUAAGCGCAAUUCAAGAUUUAAGUAGCCAUAGUCGACUCUGACAAACGUAUAAUAGACCUUAAGGCAGAACACUUACAAGAAUAAAUGAUUUGAGAAGCCAUAGCUGACCCUCAAGCACCUAUAGUAGACUACACCAAGCUAGACUUCAAAAAUCACAAGCUUCUAGAAAUGGAUUGAGUAGAAGACCUCAAGAGUCGAGUAUAGAAGUCUUAAUUCAUGAUUUUGAGGAACCAUAUUCAACUCUAAGAGUGUGGUAGUCGAUCCUCAAGGUCAACAACGGCUAGCUCUAAAUUCAAACUUGUAUCUAAUGGCUAAAUUCUUGUCUACCUCAUCUUCAACAACUCUAAGACUUCUUCAACUAUAAAAAAGACCUUUGAGAAGCAUUUCAAAGUGAGGAAGAAGAAAGAAAAAGGCUAAACUAUUGUGAAUCAAGAUCUUGAAUAGAAAAGAAAGAAAAGCUAAGCAAACCAAGCAUUCUUUACAUGAGAUAAAAUUUCUUUAUGCUUUCACACUAAUCUUUAUAUCCUCUCUUUAUACUCAUUGUUAGGCAUUCUUCCUCCAUUGUACUAAACUAGCAAAAUCCACCACUUAGAGGCACUCUUGCUAUUCUUGUAAAGGUUAUAACUCAUCCUUGAAAAGUUAGUGUGGGUUUAUGGUUGAGCCCAUUAAAAGCCAUAGUAAAGGUUGUGUUUGCUCUCGUUAAAAGGUAUUGUAAGGGUUAGCGCUUGAUCUAGUGAAAAGUCGAUGUAAGGGUUAUCGCUUGUUCUCAUGAAAAAACUAUUGUGAGGGUUAUUGCUUGAUUCCAUUAAAAAGCAAAAAUCCUUUUAGUGGAUUGAAAAUUCCUUAGUGAGCAAAGAGAGUGGGUGUAAUCACUUAAGAAAACCAAACCACUAUAAAAUUUUUGUAUCUUGAUUUUA